rnacentral:rRNA from 1 species
CGUAGGGUGCGAGUCGUUAAUCGGAAUUACUGGGCGUAAAGCGUGCGCAGGCGGUUUUGUAAGACAGAUGUGAAAUCCCCGGGCUCAACCUGGGACCUGCAUUUGUGACUGCAAGGCUUGAAUUCGGGAGAGGGAUGUGGAAUUCCAGGUGUAGCGGUGAAAUGCGUAGAUAUCUGGAGGAACACCGGUGGCGAAGGCGACAUCCUGGACCGACAUUGACGCUGAGGCGCGAAAGCCAGGGGAGCAAACGGGAUUAGAUACCCCGGUAGUCCUGGCCCUAAACGAUGAAUGCUUGGUGUGGCGGGUAUCGAUCCCUGCCAUGCCGAAGCUAACGCAUUAAGCAUUCCGCCUGGGGAGUACGGUCGCAAGGCUG